rnacentral:rRNA from 1 species
AACGAACGCUGGCGGCAGGCUUAACACAUGCAAGUCGAACGGGCGUAGCAAUACGUCAGUGGCAGACGGGGUGAGUAACACGUGGGAACCUUCCUAGGGGGUACGGAACAACUCAGGGAAACUUGAGCUAAUACCGUAUACGUCCGUGAGGAGAAAGAUUUAUCGCCCUUAGACGGGCCCGCGUCGGAUUAGCUAGUUGGUGGGGUAACGGCCUACCAAGGCGACGAUCCGUAGCUGAUCUGAGAGGAUGAUCAGCCACACUGGGACUGAGACACGGCCCAGACUCCUAACGGGAGGCAGCAGUGGGGAAUCUUGGACAAUGGGCGCAAGCCUGAUCCAGCCAUGCCGCGUGAGUGAAGAAGGCCUUCGGGUUGUUAAAGCUCUUUGUUCAGGGACGAUAAUGACGGUACCUGAAGAAUAAGCCCGGCAAACUUCGUGCCAGCAGCCGCGGUAA